AAGAAAUAGCUUUCCCGCCCAUUCUCUCUCCCCGCCCGGCGUGUUGUUUGUUUGUGAGGAGAAGUUGGGGGGUGGGAGAGGGGCGGCCGUUCGUCCGUCCCCUGUGCGGAGUGCGCCCCGCCUCCGCCUCUCUGAGGAGGGGCCGUGAGGUACCGUGAGGGGAGUUCUCCCCGGGAACGGGCGGAUAGCCGCGUGUUUGUAGGAAAUACAGCACUACACCCGUGGGGAUAAAUGGGGGGGGGGGGAUGGGAUGUAGAGCCCUCUCUGUGGGGGUAAAACGGAGGUAACGGUGGGGAGAGGAGAGGCCCCACGUCCCGGGUGAGGGAAUGAGGGGAGAGCCCGGCCCAGAGCGCAGAGCUCCGUUCCUCCCGCAGGGCACAGCUCCGGGCGCGCAGCCAGAGCCGGCCGGCGGCACUGGGAGACUGCAGGCCCUGAGUUGGGCAGCGCGCCCAGCGCCGAGGAACUCCCGUGUAGAAGGAGCUGCGGAGCCACAGCUGCCCCACGGGACGCGGAUGAGGUAUGGAGCACUGUGAGGAAGGAGGAGAGCCCCACGGUGCCUCAGUUCCCCCAGCACUGAGCCCGUGCCCACCAGGGGGCUGCAGCCCCACACUUGCCUGCAGCCCCGCAGCUGCCUCUCAGGACGGUGGAUGAGGUACGCGGGGAGGAGUGAACGACGUUUUGGUCUCUCAGCAGAUAUUGCAGGAGCCAGGCCCGGCCCUCCUUGCAAGGUGUUUUGCCAUCCAGCGGCCCCCGGCUCCUCCUGCGCCCCGGGAUAACCGCCUGCUCCGCCAUCUUGUCGGCCUCGCGCUGCCUCCAGGAGCCGCCCGUCGCCUCCUUCCAUCGCUGCCGAGCUCCGAGCUUCAAUCCGUGCUGCAGGACGGGGCGAGCGCCUUCCCACACAGCGGGCCUGGAAUGUGCCACGCUCAGAGCCAACACCACCACACCCAGCAGCAGCGCCCUGCCGGGCACCGCCGCAGCCACGGGAGGACGAGGAGGGACCCGCAGCACGCACAGACGUCCCCAAAACCUCCCGGCACGGAGCUGAGCUGCUCUUCCAACGGCCAUCUUCUCAAUCUGCUCCCGGCCCCGUGGCAAAUAUCUGCUGAGAGACGGUCGCCGCGCCGCCCCGCGUACCAUCACCACUCGCUUCACGGUUCUUUUUAACUUUUUUUUUUUUUUCCUUUUUAAUUUUUUUUUUUUUUUCAUCUUCUAUUUUAAAAGAGAAGCCGGCGAGGUGGGUUUUCUUUUCCGCCAACGAGAGAAGCUGCCCCUCAGUGCAGAGCGGAGCAGCUGGGGAGCGAAGCGCCUCGGAACCGCGCCGGGGAGCGGCCGCAUCCCGACGAGUCGCCCUCCGCUGUCACGGAGUGAUGGACCACUCAAUAUGAGGGGAUCACUGCAGCCAACUCCUGUGCCCGUUACCCCGGGGCGGCCGGAAGCACGCGGGGUAACGCAGCGUUUCCGUUUUCUCUUGGGAGGGAGCGGGGAAAAUCGAAGCAGUUUUGACUUUGACGGAGCCGUGGGAUUUGAUUCUUGGGCUGAUCCACGCGGGCGGCCGGCCCGGACGUCUCGGCUAUUUACACGAGGUUCUGGGGCGCUAUACAAGAUUUACAUUUCCGUUUGUACAGCAGAUGCUUUGAUAGAGUCGCGCUCUCAAACCGUCCCUUCCGGGGCGACAGAAAUCUGGAAGCUCCACAAACCCGGCGUUCCCCUUCCGGAUAAAAGCCUUUUGCCCGUCUCCUACAGAAUCCAAGCCAUUGAAAAAGAAAAACAAAAACAAAAACCAACCAAGCGAAACAACCACCUCAUAUCUAUACACACAUACAGGGCUGUGUGUAUACAGACACAGAAGGAACAACCGAACCGCCGCCACGCGAAGCCCGGCUCUGCCCGCUGGCGUUGGGGAGCAGGAGGGGAGUCGGCUCCCACCACCGAGCACGGCAGACCACCACCACAACCCCUCUCCUCCCCUCGCGGGGUGCAGCCGGGCCUCGCUCAGCCUCUCCGUGUGGCUGCGGCCAGAAAACACCGCACCGCUCUGCUUGUUCUCUCUUUGUUGCUGCGAGAUUUCUUCCCCCGACGCGCUCUGCUCUUCUCACCCGUGUGCUGGAAGGUCAAAUGGAGCUGUGGGAGGUUUCUGUACAUAGAUACAGCGCUCAGAGCCGGCGCCGGGUGGGACAGAUGUGCUGGGUGUUGGGUUUUUUUUGGCCUGCGUGAUGUUUGCCUCUUCCCUUUUCCACGUGGCUCCUAAGCGGCGCUACCACGGAGUAAGAAAGGUAAGGCGAAUUCAGCCAAAAAAAAAUCCAAAAAAAAAAACCAAAAAAAGGAGAAAAAAAAAAAAACCCCAAAAAGAAUAUAUAUAUUUAUAUAUAUAUAUAUAUAACCCUCUUCGAAAAGGAGAGGUACCGCCCGCGUCGGCGCAAGAACCGGAGUGGCUCCCAGCAGCUGAGCAACAGAAAGUCCAUCAGCACCGAAGCGAGGGGACGCGGCGCUGCUGGCGCGGACACACACAGCAAUACAGCAGGACAUCACUGGGACAGCUGCCUUACAGUACAAAAUACAGUACGAGUGUACGGCGCCGGGCGGACACGCAGGAAUUACUAUUGCUCCCGGGAGGGCGUCGGAAACCGAGUCCUUUCGUGAUGGAGGAGAGUUAAAAACAGGAAAACGGAAGAGAGUCCUGGUUAAAAAUUCCCUUCAAAAGGGGCGGCGGGGGGCGCGUGGGGACGGCCCCGCUGGGAUGAGCCGCCCUCGGCCGUGCCUCACUUCUGCCAAUAAAUACGGAGCAAACGGAGCGGGGCGGCCGGGAGAGGGAUGGAGACAAUAAAUUAAGAAGGCAGCUGAAAUGAGAGGGCGGGCGUGCGUGGUGUGAGACAGAACCGGAGGGACGACGACGGUCCUACGAGAGCCUGGGAGGCGUCACACAGCAAUAGCUGGAACUUUGGAAUGAACAGCGGGCUCCCAUUCAGUUCAAAGUUAGGAGUACGGCGUGUUGGCUUAAAAAAAACCCCGCUGUGCAGGGCGGGACUGAGCCGAUUGCUUUAAAAAAUAAAGACCAUUCGAGAGUGAAAAUCCAUUUAAUAACAGAGGAGAGCGCCGAGAGGCCCCGCUGUGCUCCGCGGCGGCAGGAGCCGCGCUGGCGGAACGUCGAGGUGGUCAUUAAGAAUAAUUAAAAAAGGGGGAGAGAGGACAAAAAAUUAAAAAAAAAAAAAAACCAAAAAGGGGGGGGAAAAAAAAAAAAAAAAAAUGAAAACCAAACCCAAAAAAAGGGGGGAGACGUGGCGGGGCUCCCAGCUCCCCCAGCCACCACACGUUGAGGUACUGAGGAGACGCGUUGAGUUCGUGUUAAAAACCCGCGCUCGGAGGAGGGAGAGGAGGAAGAAGAAGAGGAGCGGGGUGGGAUUUCUGCACCUGAGGUCGGCGGCACCGCGGCGUGGGGGAUCCCUGCGGCACCGCGGCCGUGUGCUUUGUGCUGCUGCCUUCUGCUGCUGCCUUCCUGCUGCUCGCCCUCUCUCUGCGACCCCCGUGGUCGAAAGAAAAGGAGAGGAAGGGGGGGGGGGGGGGGGAGAAAAAAAGCCAAAAAGGAGAAAAAAAGAAAAAAAAAAAAAGGAGGAAAAAAGAAAAAAAAAAAAAAGGAGGAAAAAAGAGCCCCGAAGCCAAACGAGGCCGUUCCUCACUCCUCACAAACCUGCCGGAUUCCCACCUGCUCGGCUGCGGGGUCCGGGUCGGCUGCCCGGAGUUCUGCAUCCCGGAAAACAACGCUGCGGAACGGAGGGGGGGAGAUGGGCUAAAUUCAAAAGGGAAAUCGAAGGAGACAAUGGACGUUGGUCCAGAGACGAACCCCUGCGUGGCAUCGCAUCGCAUCGUAUCGCAUCGCCUCUCGCGGCCGUGGGCUCCGGUGCAGACGCCGGGAUGCUGGUGGGGCAGUGCCGGCACGGAGAGGGGGCGGGAUGGAACGGGACAGGACGGGAGAGAAGAGAGCAAAGGAGAGGAAAGGAGAGGAGAGGACAGGAGGGGGGCCCGGCGGCCCCGAGGAGCGCAGAGUCCUCGUUGGAAGCGGGCUGAGGGCUGCGGGCGCUCCGUGCCCCGUCGGAAGGAGAGACGCGGGGGGGGCUGCGGUCGGGCCCGGCGCUCCCUCCGUGUCCGGCGGCGCGGGGCGCGGGGCCCCCUUCUCCCGGUCGCGGUCGCGGCCCCGGCGGCGAGGAGGGGAAGGGGGGUCCGGGCGGGGGUCGGGCGCUGCCGGGCGUCGGGGGAGGAGGAGGAGGAG
rnacentral:lncRNA from 1 species